CUAGAAUCCUAUGAAGAAGUCAAGACCUCUUACUGGAGGGUUCCAGUUAGAAUGGGAAGAAUCCCCAAGACUACUGACCUCCUUGCUUGGUCCCCAGUCCAGUUAAGCUUUCCGACUUUUGACCCGGGCUCUACUUGAAGUUUCAGAGGAUCAGGACCUGGGAGGACAACAAGUUCUUCAUUUAGUAGAUUGAACCAACAGAAGAAAAAUCUAAAACUGAAAAUGAAUAUAGACCCAGCAGCAUCAAUUAAAGAAAUCAAUACAACAUCAUCAACAGAAUCAGAUCCAUCAGUCAUAUUCAACAUGUUUGGAGAGAAGAACAGGAACCCAAAUCCUGCCUGGAGGCAGGAGGAUAGCCCAGAUGAGCUCCUGCAUGCUCCCCUAGUCUAAGAGUUUUCAAUAGUUCAGCACUAGAAAAGGUAUGUACUCUUUUCAAAGUUCUGCCAUAGGUGGUACAUGAAUAGAAUUGACCCAUAGUGGAA
rnacentral:lncRNA from 1 species